rnacentral:rRNA from 1 species
UACGUAGGGUGCGAGCGUUGUCCGGAAUUACUGGGCGUAAAGAGCUCGUAGGUGGUUUGUCGCGUUGUUCGUGAAAACUCACAGCUCAACUGUGGGCGUGCGGGCGAUACGGGGCAGACUGGAGUACUGCAGGGGAGACUGGAAUUCCUGGUGUAGCGGUGGAAUGCGCAGAUAUCAGGAGGAACACCGGUGGCGAAGGCGGGUCUCUGGGCAGUAACUGACGCUGAUGCGCGAAAGCUAGGGGAGCGAACGGG